CUGCAACAACUUAAAUAUACGCUAUUGGAGCUGGAAUUACCGCGGCUGUUGGCACCAGACUUGUCCUCCAAUGGAUCCUCGUUAAGGGAUUUAGAUUGUCCUCAUUCCAAUUAUCAGGCUCAUAGAGCCCGGUAUUGUUAUUUAUUGUCACUACCUCCCCGUGUCAGGAUUGUACAAAUACUUUUACUCUUUUUAAGCCUUUUGAUUACAUGACAUCAAAUGGUUUUUAUUUAUUCAUUAAAUGACAUGGAUGCUUAUGUGGAUUUUAACUAAUAUUAAAGAUAAAAUAAAAUUGAAAAAAAACAUAAAAUCUGGAAAAUUAAAACUAAAAUUAAAAAGGGAAGAAACCCUAGUUGUCCGCAGUCCUCCAUCUCCCCCUUUGCUAAUGUGGUUUUGCAACUUCAUGUCUUGGAAACAGUAGUUGUCAUGGAAACGGCACUUUGUUCUUUGGAGCACAACUUGGCAAGACCGAAAUAUGAGAUUUUUGGGUUGAAGUUGUCAUCUAAUAGUACAUUGUGAGGUUUGAUAUCGAAAUGAAGGAUUCGUUGGUCACAUCCGUGGUGAACUUACUCAAUUCUUUUGGCUAUUCUGAGAGUAAUAUGUUGUAGUUUCUCCCAACCAAGAAAAUGGUUCUUGCUGUCUGCUGACGAUAUGAGUUUUGCAGUGAAACCAUUUGGUGCAAAUUCAUAAACUAAGGCUCGUCUAAAUCCAUCAGCGCAAUAGCCAACCAAGCGAACCACGUUAAUAUGGUGGAUCCAACCUAAUGUUGACACUUCAUUGAUAAACUCUUCUCCAUUUCCAUUGGAAUUGUUGAGCAUCUUUACAGCAACAAAGAUCUCACUCAAGAGCUUUCCUUUGAACAUUGUUCCAAAUGUUCCUUUUCCCAACUUGUCUCUAGAUUUGUUUGUAAUCCACUUGAUAUCAGCAUAUGAGUACCUCGUAGGCCUGAGAGUUCUGUAGUUUUCCAAAAUUUCUUCGAUCAUGGUUUGCCGCUCCUUUUCUAUUCGAUCAAUAAGUAUGUACACGAUGGAGACCAACAAGUAUCAGCACAAGUGAAAAUGAACCAAGGACUGCACUUGCAUAGUUUACGUUCAAUUAAGAACCUCUACGCCAAACUUCAAAUUUUCAAAAGGAAAAAAAAAAAAAAUCUUUCAUGGUGAAUGCAUAUAGAAUGAGCCUGUAACAACUAGUUUUUUCGUGGUACCUGUAGAAAAAUUUCAAUCCCAUUAGUUCUUCAUUUGUACCAAAUCAUUAAAUCAUUGCAUAUUUGUAUACAGAACAUUCUCAAGUUCUUGAUUGUGAAUGGAACAUUCGAUAACUAUGGAGCACGGGGGUCUCUGCUUGCAGGUUGAGCAGGGGGUACUUGCGAUUUCUGCACAAGGGGAGACAGAGGAUUGUGUACAACUAGGGUUUCUUCCUUUUAUUUUUUAUUUUUUUAAUUUGAGUUUUAAUUUUCCAGAUUUUAUGUUUUUUUUUUUCAGUUAUAUUUUAUCUUUAAUAUUAGUUAAAAUCCACGUAAGCAUUCAUGUCAUUUAAUGAAUAAAUAAGAACCAUUGGAUGUCAUGUAAUCAAAAGUGUAAAAGUAUUAUGGAUCCGAAUUUCUUGGCCAUAAUACACUCUACUUGGUACGAUCACUAACUCACGGUCACAAAUACGCUGUAAUGGCAUCCAACGAGCAUUAUGACUGUUAAAAUUUCAUAGCAUUUGUAACUAGAAAUCUACGGUACCAUUAAUCAUGCUACAUCACCUUGAGUCUUUGAGAUUACAAAUUAUACCACUUUAACUUGAAUCUGUUUAACUCCGCCUAUGUCUUACAUGGCCGGUCCCAAGCCCGGAUAAAGGAGGAGGGGGAGGGCGUCAGGUAGUCGACAGCCGGCACUCCAUGAUCACGUCGAAUCCUUAUGAAAAUGAAUCCAGAACAAAAUCGCGCUAAAGCUAGGGCGUCACCCGUAAGUGGCACGCUGUGUGGCCUGAGCACAGUGAUAAGUGAGCAAGGGUCGCUGUAUCUCCAUCGGCACCCGGAUGCAGUGUUAAAUGAGCAAGGGGGCCAUAGAAACUUCUUUUCGAACGACUCCACUCAAAGUUGUUUGGGAGCAUAUGCUCCUAUCAACUUUACCCGGGACACACAAAAGAAGUACUUUGAUCCUAUUAGACGGGGGAGGGUGAAGAAGCUAGGACAGAAGGUAGAGUUCAAGAGAGCAAAAUGCGUUUAGGAACGUGGAAUAUAGGAACCUUAACGGGAAAAUCUAUGGAAGUAGUGGAAGUUAUGGUGAGGAGAAGGAUAAAUAUUAUGUGCCUACAAGAAACUAAGUGGGUUGGUAGUAAGGCAAAGGAUCUAGAAAACUCAGGGUUUAAACUUUGGUAUUCGGGCACAAAUAGAACGAGAAACGGUGUUGGCAUCAUCGUGGACAAGACCUUGGUACAAGAUGUUGUAGAUGUCAAGAGGGUAGGAGAUAGAAUCAUGGCAAUCAAGAUUGUAAUAGGACAAGAACUUAUCAAUGUGAUUAGUGCGUACGCACCUCAAGUAGGGUUGGAUACGAGUUCGAAGGAGAAAUUUUGGGAAGAUCCUUGGAGACUUGGUGCAAGGAAUUGCUCAGACGGAGAAGUUAUUUAUAGGAGGAGAUUUAAAUGGACACGUGGGCAGGGAGACAGGCAACUAUGGAGGUUUUCAUGGUGGCCAUGGUUUUGGGGAGAGAAACGAGGAUGGGGAAGCUAUCUUGGAUUUUGCAAUGGCAUAUGAUCUCUUCUUAGCCAACACCUUCUUUAAGAAGAGAGAAGAACAUGUGAUCACCUACAAGAGUGGGUCGUCAAAAACACAAAUAGAUUUUCUUCUAAUGAGGAAAGGGGAUCGUAUAACUUGUAAGGAUUGCAAAGUUAUACCAGGAGAGAGCGUGGCUAAUCAACAUCGCUUGUUGGUGAUGGAUGUACAUAUCAAAAGAGUAAGACAAAAGAACAAGACUUGGAAGUGCCCAAGGACUAGAUGGUGGAAUCUAAAAGAAGAAAAACAAGCCAUUUUCAAAGAGAAGGUAAUCACCCAAUGUGUGUGGGAUAGAGAGGGGGAAGCUAGCCAAAUGUGGGAUUCCAUGGCUAGUUGUAUCCGAAAAGUAGCAAAAGAGGUAUUAGGAGAGUCCAAGGGCUUUGCCCCACACCAAAAGGAAUCUUGGUGGUGGAAUGAGGAGGUACAAACAAAGGUGAAGGCUAAGAAGGAAUGUUGUAAAGCCUUAUACAAGGAGAGGACCGAUGAAAAUGGUGAAAGGUAUAGAAAAGCGAAGCAAGAGGCGAAGAAAGCUGUCAGAGAAGCUAAGUUAGCGGCUUACGACGAUAUGUAUAAACGACUAGAUACCAAAGAAGGAGAGAGUUGGAUAUCUAUAAACUAGCUAGAGCAAGGGAAAAGAAGACAAGGGACCUAAACCAAGUGAGGUGCAUCAAGGAUGAGGAUGGAAAGGUUCUUGCUACAGAGAACGCGGUUAAAGACAGAUGGAGAGGUUAUUUUCAUAAUCUUUUCAAUGAAGGACAUGAAAUGAGUGCUUCUUUAGGGGAGUUGAGUAACUCAGAAGAGUGUAGAAACUACUCUUUUUAUCGUCGAAUCCGGAAGGAAGAAGUGGUUGUAGCUUUGAAGAAGAUGAAGCAUAAAAAAAGCAAUAGGCCCAGACGAUAUACCAAUCGAAGUGUGGAAACUUUUUGGGAGAGACAGGUAUAACAUGGCUCACUGACCUUUUCAAUAGGAUUUUGAAAACGAAGAAGAUGCCAAAUGAGUGGCGAACGAGCACUUUGGUGCCUAUCUACAAGAAUAAGGGCGACGUACAAAAUUGCAUGAACUAUAGGGGUAUUAAGCUAAUGAGUCAUACAAUGAAGCUCUGGGAGAGAGUCAUUGAGCAUAGAUUGAGGCAAGAGACACGGGUUUCGGACAACCAAUUCGGGUUCAUGCCAGGGCGCUCAACCAUGGAGGCAAUCUAUCUCUUACGAAGAUUGAUGGAAAGAUAUAGAGAUGGGAAAAAGGAUUUACACAUGGUCUUUAUAGAUUUGGAAAAAGCGUAUGAUAGGGUCCCAAGAGACAUUCUUUGGAGGAUUUUAGAGAAGAAAGGAGUACGAGUAGCAUAUAUCCAAGCUAUAAAGGAUAUGUAUGAAGGAGCAAAGACUGCCGUAAGAACUCAUGAAGGACAAACCGAAAGCUUUCCCAUAACUGUAGGAUUACAUCAAGGCUCAUCCUUAAGUCCUUACCUUUUUGCGUUGGUAAUGGAUGAGUUAACAGGACAUAUUCAAGAUGAUAUUCCUUGGUGUAUGCUUUUCGCAGACGAUAUAGUGUUGAUAGAUGAAACUCAGGAAGGGGUAAAUGCAAAGCUUAACCUUUGGAGAGAAGUGUUGGAAUCUAAAGGUCUUCGCCUAAGCCGAUCAAAG
rnacentral:lncRNA from 1 species